UUAGUGCUAAAACAUGAUUUAAAUGUCGCUUUUUGACUUCUGAGUUCUGACAUUAUCUGAGAAUACGACCGUGGUGAAUGUAAAAUUUUCCUAUUCUCUAUGACACAACAAAAAAUUGAAAUAGUGCUUAAUCUUUUGUUUUAUUUGUUGUCGUUUCAUGAAACUUUCGAGCAACACGCGAACCCUGAAAAUGGACUUCUACGUACAGGUUCCCUUCAUCAGCCAAACAAAUUGGAUACGCUGAUGGUCACGCCAACACCAAUGGCUUUGGUGGUACCGUCUCCUCUUCAUUUUUCGGCCAAACGAAAUGGAGAUUCACGUUGUACGCGAGUAUCACACUUAGAAUACGUCUCCUUUGAUUCAGAAGUUCCGACUGUUGAUCUACCAUUUCUGGCGUUUGGACAAAGAAAGAGAAGACGAACACAUCAACGUAAACAGGAGGAAGUAACCUUGUCCUCGUGGCCACUUGGUGGGUGUCCGGAAGGAAAUGAAAGUUUCCUUUCCAUUUCGAAUCCACAGAAUCCAGUCAAUUGGGAAAAAACUCUUUGAUAUAGCAGUGAGGAGGUUUGCAAGCCGUUGCCCGUCUUUUGAUAUCAGACAGAGCCCCUAAACCAGCAGCAGUUGAAUGGGAGACUGCUGAUCGCAACAUGUUAAAGUUUGCCAUUCAAAAGUAACGAACGAUGUGCCAGUUUUUCCGUGGCAGACAACAGCAGCAAGGGAUCCUUCCUGCAGCAACUGUUACAAAUCAAGAAAAGGAAACGACCGAAAAUUUGGCGCUAUACUCUGGGAGGUCCAACGGCCCACCGGCUGGGCCAUCCUCUUGUUCCCUACACCGUUGCGGCCUUGUCCUCUCGACAACACAUUGCAUCCACCGAUUCAUCAAUCAAUUGUGUAGUCUACCUUACUGUAGCCAUUCACCCUGCAAACAGAUUCGGCAGCUGUUUUAUUUCAUGCAGCGCACGUACUAGACGCGUGCACCCCACAGCUUCUCCAGUUUGACGGCCAGUUGGCAUGUAUUGCCUUUAUGGUUUUGAUAUCUCGAAAUGAGUUAGCAUCGUCCAUGAAGAAUGAAAAAUAGAUAGAAAGGAUAGACUGCUGCACAUGUCCAUAUUUCACAUACGUAUAAAACGGCCGCAAAGAAUAGUGGCCAAGAGUUGAAAGGGGAAAUUCGUGAUGGGUGGUUUUAUCCACAGAGGAUCGUCAUGGCAAGGAAAGAAAAAAAAGGAAUCCUGCAGAGGCCGUUCUUCAAAAAUGGCUGAUGCAGUUUGCGGCUGACUUCUCGGGGGCUACCGUGUACGCGUUGGGGUGUGUCAAGACAAGCCAAAAGAGUCAAGACGAAGCGGAUCUACAAUGGAGGAGAGAUGAUCCCCUACGGCGCCUCUUGACGCGAUCACGCUCACAACACAGCAUAGAGAGAUCUCUUGAUCGUGAUGAUUCUGUUGCUGACUGAUUUUAAUGAUCCAUCAAAAUGUACAGAGUUGUUUGAUCCGACAGUUUGUAUACCCUGUAAGCACAUCAACACUCGUAAAAGGUAAUUGAUUUGUAGCUAAUAAUAGAAUGAAAUAGAAAAGCCGAUUUUGAACACAAAUCCUUUUCUGUACAUCUAA
rnacentral:lncRNA from 1 species